CGCGACCCCAGGUCAGGCGGGACUACCCGCUGAAUUUAAGCAUAUCAAUAAGCGGAGGAAA
rnacentral:rRNA from 1 species